rnacentral:rRNA from 1 species
UGGGGGAUAUUGCACAAUGGGCGAAAGCCUGAUGCAGCGACGCCGCGUGGGGGAUGAAGGCCUUCGGGUUGUAAACUUCUUUUGCUCUGAACAAGGCGCACCAUGGGGUGUGUUGAGUGUAGGGGUUGAUUAGCGCCGGCUAACUACGUGCCAGCAGCCGCGGUAAUACGUAGGGCGCGAGCGUUGUCCGGAAUUAUUGGGCGUAAAGGGCUUGUAGCUGGCUGGUUGCGUCUGUCGUGAAAGCUCAUGGCUUAACUGUGGGUUUGCGGUGGGUACUGGCUGGCUUGAGUGCAGUAGGGGAGGCUGGAAUUCCUGGUGUAGCGGUGGAAUGCGCAGAUAUCAGGAGGAAUACCGGUGGCGAAGGCGGGUCUCUGGGCUGUUACUGACACUGAGGAGCGAAAGCAUGGGGAGCGAACAGG